rnacentral:sRNA from 10 species
UGCAUUUGAAGCCCAUGAGGAUGAGAACCUCCGGGGGCUGGGAGGUUCGACUCGAGCGAAGCGAGAGAACGUUGCGCCAGCAACGGCCCGCAGGGCGAGCCACGAAGUGGCGAGUAAUCCUCUAUCACCGACCA